GAAAUGCGAUACUUGGUGUGAAUUGCAGAAUCCUGCGAACCAUCCAGUCUUUGAACGCAAGUUGCGCCCGAAGCCAUUAGGUUGAGGGCACGUCUACCUGGGCGUCUCACGUUGCGUCGCCCGCGCCCCCUCCGCCCCUCCACGAAGGUGGGAAGAAGGGCUGUCGGCAGAUGUUGGCCCCCCGCGCGCGGUCGGCCCGAAAGUGAGUCCUCCGCGACGGACGACGCGUCGCGACGAGUGGUGGUUGACAAACCGUUGCGUCGCCUCGCGCGCGUCCGGUCUGUCACAGGAGGCCUGUCGUGACCCUAUCGCUCCGCCGCCAAGGCGCUCCGAUCACGACCCCAUGUUAGGCGGGAUUACCCGCUGAAUUUAA
rnacentral:misc_RNA from 1 species